CAGCCCGCUUCCUUAUGUCACCCACCUCCUCUGUGUGCCGCCUCUCUUCUCUCGUCUCGUCUGUGUGUGUGUGUGCAGAGGGUGCCGUCGCACUUCUUCGCUGCCACCGCUGUUCCUUUCCUUUUUCUUUAUUCGCCGGGAGCGCGCGAUGCAGGACAUGUACGCCCCCAAGUACAAUGGGAAGUCACCGCAGCAGUGGGAGCGUGGUAGUGCGGCGUCGCCGGCACCGAUGAGCACGCCUGCACAGCCGUAUCGCACGCCCAAGGAUGACGCCCCGGAACACGACCCACUGCUGUGGAGUAACACAGACACCUCCUACAUCGCUACACUGGAAACACACGCCAUGAAGUACCAGCCUCCCUCCACGUCACAGCAAGUCGGGCUGCAGCGGCGAGGGACAGCGGCGUCUAAGCCGCCACUCAAGGUUUUUCUGUCCUCCUCGUGGAGGGCUACGCCGCAGGAGGGUGCCGCGACGCAGCACCCCAAGUUCCACUCUGUGUAUCACUGUGGCCCCACCACGUGGCCUGGCCGCCUGCUCCGGUUUUUCGCACCACAGCUCUAUGCGCGGUGGCAGGGUAACGUGAGCGCGGCUGAUGUGCGCCAGCUUUCUACCAAGGAGCUCAUCAGCCUAAUGCAGCUCGCCUUGUCUGCUGGUGAGGUGGAUCAGUCAGCGAUGCUGGCACGGGAGCUGUCGCGCCGGAAGCUGGCUCUGCAGAUGAAAUUGCCCCCCCAGCAAGCCGUUGCACCCGGUGCCGAGGCGAUGAUACACGGAAGCCCGUCUCCGCCCAACCCUGACUCAUCUCCGACGUGCCCUACACCACAUCCACUGGCGAGUGCACGUGGGUGCUUCAACGGCGGCGGCGCUGGUCUGCCUACGGUCUACACGAGUGGCACGCACGGUCCGUCGCCUGGCGCUGCCUCGUGGCAGCGUGAUCAGAGUACCGCCGACUUCGACUCGGACCGCUUCGCGAAUCGAGCUGGCCUCAGCAGCCUUAACAUGUCGUCUGCCUGGGCGAGCGACCUGCCGCCUGAGCCCUUCGAGUAUGCCUCUUCCCCGGCCCUCGCAAACGGAGUUGGGGCGCGGCGAAGCGCCCUCGACGAGCCGGGCGGCAGCGGCUCCUGGACACGAAGCACACAGUGGCGCUAGCGCUUUCCUCGUGCAGCGAGGUCUACAGGCGCCCUCCGAAGAGUGGCGCAGGCAAAACAGAUGCGUCAGCCGUGUCAGCUUCCUCCCUUCCGAGGGGAGGACACGGCCUGAAGGAAAGACAUUUCUGCAUGCGCGCACAUAGGAGAAGUAACGUUGAUGCGCACACUCUCUUGUGUACACGGGGAGAGAGCCACACACACACACACACACACAGAGGGAGAGGGAGAUGAGAAGAGCACGCGUCUGGAGGCGGCGCAGCAAGUCGCGUGCUGCUGCCCCUUACACCUUUGUUUCCCUCGGUGCUCUCGCCCUUUACUUUCUCUCGUCUAGCACUGAUCGUGUGCUGUGCUUCACUGCAUAGACACACCU
rnacentral:misc_RNA from 1 species